rnacentral:lncRNA from 10 species
GCAAUGCCUCGCCCUGCUUCGGCUCGCGCACGGUGCGUGUACCCACUGACCUGUGCCCACUGUCUGGCACUCCCUAGUGAGAUGAACCCGGUACCUCAGAUGGAAAUGCAGAAAUCACCCUUCUUCUGCGUCGUUCACGCUGGGAGCUGUAGACCGGAGCUGUUCCAAUUCGGCCAUCUUGGCUCCUCCCCUGGACUCUUUAUUUCUUAAGGAGCUCAUUCUAAGGAUUAUGGAGAUAAACCAUGGAAAGGGGUUUCCAGGAGAUGCUGCAAUUGCUGGUCCAGGAAACAUGCUUUAAGAACUGCUGACCUAGGAUGUUGCGGUGCAUUUUCCCAUAAGUAACAAAUACCUAGCAAACAAUACCACUGAAAAUAUUGAAAAUACACUACAUUUACCUCGUUAAGUUCUUUCAUUAUGCUUUUCUCAAGUUUUAUCUCCAUUUCCAGUAAAAUAAUAGCCCCAUUGAAUCAGACUGAAAGUAUUAAUAUUUUAGUUAAUCUUCAGCGUAUUUUGUGCUAUAGCUUCCUAGCUCUGAUCAUGAGAUCAUUUUCAGUUGAGUCCAUGACUGAGAGUAUUUGUCCCAAUACUUACUGCUAUUUGAACAUGAUGAGUCUGUAGAUAGUACUUUAAUUCCUUUGUGUGUCUUUUUUUAAUUAAAAAGGAAAAUCAUAAAUACCCAGACUUUUUCAAAAAUUCAAAUAUUCUCCAAAAGAGGUGAUUUAAACCAGAAGAAAGGACAACGGCAGACCUCUGUUACUUAGUUUCCCACCCAUGUAUGAGGAGCACAUAUGUUGUGAAUUAAGUUAUUUUCAGAAUAUUUCACUUUUUCACACUUCAGGGAGGCCAUAUAUAUUUUAAUAAAUCUCCAGACAAACUAUGGUAAUUCUCUCUGAAGAUGAACUUACCACAGUAAUAGAAAUUAUAAAUAAAAAUUUUUUUGAUGAUGAAAGAAAAUGAUAUAUACCUGAGACUACACCAGGUGGAAUAGGAACACCUAGAAG